UGAGAACAACUAAGACGGAUGGUUGUCUC
rnacentral:piRNA from 1 species